AUGGCGAGUGUCAUUGUGUCGUAUCACAUCCUCCAACUCAGCACCUGCAGUCGCUCCCAGCUGCAGCAGACUUUCGGUGGAGGAACUAAACUGUCUGUGGGCCGCCUCACCCAGCCCAGUGUGACGGUGUUGCCCCCCUCCAGUGUGGAGCUGCAGCAGGAGAAGGUCACACUCGUGUGUGUGGCCUACAAGGGCUUCCCCUCGGACUGGAGGCUGAGCUGGAAGGUUGAUGGGAGCAGCUGGAGCUCGGGGGAGAGCCGCAGCACCGCAGUUCUGCAGGCGGACGGCCUCUACAGCUGGAGCAGCACUCUGAGCCUCCACCCGUGUCAGUGGAGGAACAAGGUGGUGACCUGUGAGGCCUCCAAGGACAACCAACCACCUGUGGUGAGCACAGUGAACACAGAGCAGUGCUGAGAGCUGUGAGCUCACACACACGUUACUCAGCUCACCUUCUACUGCUUCACUGUGUGUUCCAUGUGGCCUUUACUGCUCAAAUGUCCCACUUUCAUCAUUUCAUUCGAGUUAUUGACAUGUGAGCUCACACACUCCUCACUUUAACUCAGAUCUUCUUCUUAUCACCUAAAUAUGUGUUAAGUGUGUGUAUCACUGCAAUGUCCUGCUUUGAAUUAUUAAUAAAAGCCUUUUGAA